GUUUUGCUGAUGGCUGACAGGACAUCUUCCAAGACUGAACACAGCAGUCAAGCAGCUCUUUUUUUACAGAAGACAUGGGAUACAUAAAUCAGUUAUUUUUAAAAAUCUUUUCACAUACUGCUUGAAAUUUGUACAUGACCUUUUGAGAUUCUUGAUUUUUACAUACAGGGGAAGUUGGUGUAACUUUCCAAAUGACAGAGUUUGAUCAUUUAUCUGUUCUGAAAUGGGGUUGAUUGGGAGUGUAUUUUUAAAUGUCAUGAGGAUAAAAGAGAAACAAAUAUGGGGGAAAAUUGUUCAGUGAAAAACAGUUCAAGUGAAAACAGGUGGCCUAUAAUUGAAGUACUGUAUAUGAAACAAAAUAAAUUAGAUACUGUUGAAAAAGGAUGGGACACCCACCCAUGGAAGAAAAACUAAUUCUGGUUACCAUAGUAAAUGAGCCCAUUCAUCUAAACAGCUUAUGAUUUAUAAGAACACCUUCAUAUUUACACCCAUCAUUCUCCUAAUUUCAUCAACAAACAAGGAAAAGGUACAGAUCUGUCUUUGUCAUUCCAAACGAUAAGGCAAGGCAGGUCAGAGUAGACUCAGGGAUGUGGACAGAGCUGUAGAUUUUCUAGUCAUGAUUCUGUGUUGUCCUUACAUCUCGAGCGAGGAGGAGCGGUUGCAAUUUAGUUUUCGCUUAAGUUUAACUUGUCCCAUAUGCUCAUCUAAUUUCCAUCAAGACAAAACAUUUCCCCCCUUUGUCACCUGUCAAGGGUACACAGCAUUUGUGUUAUCUGUAAUUUUGAGAAAGCAUUUGCAUGUAACAUUUAGGAAACACCUCUAUCCAGUGCCAUUUAGAGCCUUGUAAAGUAUGAGGAUGUAUGGGCUUACUGGGAUUUAAAGCCAUGGCCUUAGCGCUGUUGUCCUCUAGCACAUCUGAGCCAUAGAGACAUAAGUAAUCAAACUCCAAAAAUUCAUCCUAAAGUUCUAGAACCAAUUUAAGCAAAUUGGUGACUAUGGUGACCAGGCUGUUUUCUCCAGCAAUGUCUUAGACCUCAGAACUUGGUGCUUAAUCAACCUUUUUUAUUUUUUAUUUAGUAGGGUCUUGCAGUAGAUCUUGCAAGUCAGAGCCAGCAUCCUAUAGGGAUCGAUCCAUAGAAAUACAUUUGUACACCUUUUUAACAUGUGUUGAUAGUGUUCUGAUUAUGAUUAGUUUGUAGCAUACAUGUUCUGCUGAUUCUUUGCAAUUUGAUUUUAUAUGACAUAUUUCAUACUUGUUUUGGAUAAGAACUAAUGCACAAUACCAUUAGUUUUAAUUUAAAAGUAUUAAGAGGAAACAUUGUUUUUUUGGGAUACAGUUCAGAUCAGUACAUGUAGGUAAUUGGCAGCUUUAUUAAAUACCUAAAGAUGAACCAGUCUGAAGGGAACAUAGAGUAGGCUUGCAGCGAAGUAGAAUAUUUUUUGGAGUGUUAAACAUAAGGUUAAAUUCAGAGGACUGACAACCAACAUUGUACACAUUUGUAUAUAUAUCACAUGACAAAUUAAAAUGAUUACCCUACAAACGGUGUUUGCAUGUUUUAAUACAUUUUGUGUGUAUUACUGAAUUCCAAUGAGCCAACACAAAUUUGGGUGUAUUAAUUAAUUACAAUGUAGGAAAAUACCUUGUUUAGACAAACUAUUUUGCCCUGUUUCCAGUAAAAAUAACAUGCAAAACUAUUUUAACACUUUGAAGUUUUUUAAGGAACAUAAGCAUGCACACAC
ensembl:lncRNA